GGAGAAACGGCGCUCUGUCAUGACGUCACCACUUUGGACUGGGCCGCCUGAAGCCAGCCCUUUCCUCCUAGCUCGCGGGUGAUGAAGCUUCUGCGGGGAGCUGGACCCUUCGCGUCGCCAGGUGGCGCCAUCCGCCCUGUGAGUGGCGCGUGGUUCCUGCAAGGAUGCCGAGGAACAGGCGGCGGGGCUCACGGAAUUGCCUGCUGCUGCCGCCACGCCACCGAGGACAGUGACCACAGGGCCAGGCCUAGAGGAAGCAGAACCCCUGAGGACUGAGCCGAAAGGAGAUCAGCAGCUCCGCAGAGGUGAAUCGAGCGCCUUCUCUGCUCAGUGGGGGUGUGUCGACUCUGUGGAUGGAGUUCCAGUCUGGUGAGGUUGUGUGUCAGGUAUGGUUCCUCUUAAAGGAAAACAAGAACAACAUGGAAGAGAUGGGUCGCUUAGAGGGCCUCCCCAAGGGUUGAACUGUGAGAGGGGAAUCGGGGUGAUGGCCUGGCUCUCAGCCUGUGUGUGUGUGACAUCUGUACCACAAUCCAAUGGUAUACGCCUGAGGACAUAAUUUAAAUGAUUACUUACAAGGAAACAAAAAGUCUCUGUCUUUGGUAUAAUUCAAAUGGCCCAUGAGCUUUAGAGGAAACUGAUCCCAGAAAAAAUUCACGUCAGAAUCACAAAAGGGCCACGGAGAUCCUAAAAUCAAAUCUUUUCUCUUAUAGAUCAAUAUCUGAUGCCUCCUUUGUUCAGGAGACUUUUCUGGGUUGGGCUAGACCAGGAAGGAAAAGGUUGAAAGCAGAAAUGGAAUUCUCAUUUCUUCCUCUGCCCGGGUCAGACCUGCAGGUCCUGUUGCCCUGGCAGAGGGACCCUCAGGCUUGCCUCUGACAGUGGGCUGCAGCAGUGGCCCAGCCCUGCUCAAGGUACCUAUAAUUGUCCGC
rnacentral:lncRNA from 1 species